AUACAUGUAACUACAAAUUGAGUAAGGAGCACAACCAUAAAUGUUUAUACACAAAAAAAACAAAAACAUUUAUGUAUAAACAUUUAUGGUUGUGCUCCUUACUCAAUUUGUAG